CUAGUAUGCUCUCGGUUUCGGCCGGGCAUCGUGGCUCGUUUUUGGAAUCAAUGGUCAGGCCGGCCGGAAUCUGGCGUGAUCAAAUCUUAUGCGGAACGCCGCCGCCUUCGUUUCUCUUUCUUCGCAUGGACGUAACGCUCAUUCGAUGCUGUGGUCGUUCGCACGGCAGCGACAUCGAGACGGGCCUGUAGCUCAGGUGGUUAGAGCGCACGCCUGAUAAGCGUGAGGUCGGUAGUUCAACUCUACCCAGGCCCACCAACUUUACGCCGCCUGCGCGCAGGUGCGGCAGCGAUAGGAAGGGUGAGCCCGGGCGUGUUAAGUAUCUGCCGAUCAAUCUGGGCGGUUUCGUCGGACGACGACAACGAUGCGACGACAACGAUGCCCGGUUGAAGCAAGGUUUCGGGGCCAUAGCUCAGCUGGGAGAGCGGUAGCUUUGCAAGCUUCAGGUCGUCGGUUCGAUCCCGACUGGCUCCACCAUUAUUCUGGCGCUACCGCUCGCGACGAGCGCUCGCUGCUUGAGCGCGGUUGAUUGAACGCGGGCCUUCUGAGACGCGCCAAUGACAUGUCCAUGUUGAAGAGAAUACAGUUUCGUGCUGCGGCCUCGGGCCCGGCAUGAUGAUCACCGACAUCGUGAAGAGGGGAUAAGCCUGGAAACUUGAACCCGCUCCAAUUUGGUUCAAGUUGGCCUUACCCGGGCUAUUGGACGG
rnacentral:tRNA from 1 species